GCCCGCGUGGCGGAACUGGUAUACGCGACGGACUUAAAAUCCGUUGGUCUUCGGACCUUGGGAGUUCGAGUCUCCCCGCGGGCACCA
rnacentral:tRNA from 1 species